rnacentral:sRNA from 1 species
UGAGCAACUAGCCGAGUGUCUGCGGGAGCCGAGCGCGGUGAGGUGGGGCCUCAUGGGCAGGCGGGAGGUGCUCGGGUUAACCGUCCGAGGCCCGGAGACCCGCCCGUCUAGGGCGCCUGAGGGACUCCCGUUCGGGCAGCGGCCUCUUGUUACCCGGGGGGAACCCGAGGCCCAGAGAGGGGCUGGGACGCGUCGUUAGGGCCCGGGGCCUGCUUGCCUCAGCUUCCUGCUGCCGCCAGCAAGCUAAGCUCCAGUCGGCGCCAAAGGAGAGCUUCCCGACCCUGGUGUCCAGGAGCCCCAAUCCAGGGCUGGGAGGGUUCACAGGUGGCUAUUGGUCUUUAGUAAGGGUACUGUCUUCCUCGUCUGAUCCUUAGCAAAAGUAGGAAGAUAGAGUUGUUGGCAGAAAUCCUGGGAUAAGAGAACAGUUUCCUGGAAGGUCUGUGCCUCCAACCAGCAGAGAGGGAUUGAGCUUCAUUGAACUCAACAGAGCCAACAUUUUACAGCACCAUGUUCAAGAGGAGGUUGAAGUGGCAUGGCAAUGGUUAGAGAC